GGGUGGUUUUUUCCUCCCCCCUUUUUUCUUCUUCUUCUUCUUCUAACUUUAAAUACUUCAGAAGGGAGUGGUUUAUUUCUCUCCUUUUCCUCUAGGGCAAGAAAGGAAGAAGAGAAGAAGAAAAACCCUACUGAUUACUGCAAUUCAUUAAAAUAAUUUAUCCAUGCUCACAUUAGUGGAUUUCACUGUUUUUCUAGAUGAGUGCUGUUUUGUUUUUUAAAAGGUUUUCCCCCCCCCCUUCCUAACUUCUGGGUGGAAAGUCUAUCCUAAUAAAUAUAUUUUGCUCCCUUAAACGUCCCCCCCCCGAAUUUACCCUAUCGUGUUUGCCCCACAGGGGUAAAUCAAUUUAAUAUGUGCAGUUUUAGCAAAUACCUUGAUUACAAAGGUUCCCCCCCUUCUCUCACCAAAACGUUGGGGAUUUUUUUUUUUGAGCUGAUUUUUAAAAUAAUUAUGGCCACAAUCCAACACUGAGUGUGGUACACUGAAGUCCCAAGAAAGUCGCUGGGCGUAAGGAUGUAUACCUCUCUUAUGGAUUGUGGCCCUUACUUGCUCUCCCUGUUUUAUAAAUGGGAAACAAAUGCACCACUAAAGGGAAAUUAGUAAGUAAAAUGGGGAAGCAUUAUAAUAAUUAAGAAUGGUUAUCACAUUUUAUUUUUUGACAAGCCUCAUGCAUCUAUAUAAUUUGAGUUUAAGACUUAAAAUACAGUUUUGAAAAAGUUAGCUUUCCUUUUAUUUGUGGCCUUUGAUCUCAAACCCUCUAAUAAUAAUGGAGGAACCAAUAGGAAGUUUUAAAGGACUCAGUUCUUUAUUUUUUUCCAAACCAGGUGGCUCUGAUAAUCUCUCAUUUUAGUGUCUGUUAUGUUGGAGCAAGUGAGACUGUCCUGCCUGCACAAAUAAGGCCUGCAAAACCUAGCUGUCCAUGAGCCAUUCCAUAUAGCAAAAUACCCCACAAAAAAGAUGGAGUUUGGAAGGGACAUGAUAGAAGUGGAGAAGUGAAGCUGCAAUCACAAAGCAUGUCUCUUCCUGGUGGGGACGAGAACGGAUCAAGCGGUCCAGCAUCAUCCGAAUUUUAAACUUGGAAUUUCACUACAUCGGUGCAUUAUAUUGCCUGCCGGUUAAAAAUGAAGCAACGAGAACAAAGUACAAAUUUCCAAAGAAGGAGGGGGAAAUCCCUUUUGAAUCUUGACCUGAGUUGUUUGUGGCUUGGUCCUCCUUGCUCAAGGGAACAGCAUGAAAAAAGGAAAACAUCCUUUUCCUUCUGUCUCUUCUCUGCCUUUGAUGUUUUUUCACAAUGCAGUUAAGUGUCAGGAAUCCUAUCAAGGAACCUGCAGCAUGAUACUAAUAGGGGAAAUGUAGAAUUUAUUUCAACAGCUCACACACACAACUGCAUCUUGUCUUUCAAGAGGGUCAAAGAUGUGUUGCUCAUUACCCCACAAGCCUGCUCUUCCCUCAAGGGAACUGCUGCUGUUUGGCUCGGGGGUGGGAAGAAAUAUUUCAAGGCCUUUCCCCUGCUGAUUACAAUGUGACUGACGUAGACACACACACACACACACACACACACUUCUGUGAAAGCCUGUGGAAACACGGGAAUUACACACUUUGAUUCAGAAAAUCAGAGUGCAGGUGGCAUCUGUUGCAAAUCCAUCCCCCCUGACCUCAGGCGGUUCAUUGACACCUUCCAGCAUUCAGAAACCAAGAGCAAGCGCUCCCACCUCUUGGCAAAAUCCUCAAAUGUCUUAAGACUUCUGGCAAAAUUAUAACUGAUUUUGGGGGAGAUUUGUUUUUCCAUAACCCGCAUGUCUCUGCAACUGGUCCUAGGAAUUUUGGCUCACUAGGAAUGAGAAUCACUGGGAUUUCCAGGUCAGAGGUCACAUUCUCUAGUGUUUCCUUCAACCACAGCUGUAUUGGUGUGUCUUCUCUUCCAUCACAAGGCACUGGAUUGUGGACAGCUUGAGCCAUUCCCCCACCCCACCCCCCAAAAAAUAACCAGAUGAAAGGAUAGCCAGUUUGAAAUAUGUUAAAAGUUCAUAAGAACCCACAACUGAUUGGAUGUAAGGAUUAGCCAUCCUGUUCAUUUAUAGUCAAGGGUUUAGAGUAGGCGCUACAGAGCAGGGAGGGAGCCAGGCAUUGUACAGCAGGCCAGCCUGCUAUUGGUGACUGCUUUAGACCUCAUGGAGCCAGUCAUUUUAUUUAUUUUACUAAAUCUACACCCUGUCUUUCCUCCAAGGAGCUAAAGGUUGGCCUAGAAUGGUUAUCCUCACAACAACCUGCCGGCACCCGCUCCGUCUUAGGAGACGAUGGAACAGUGCGCCUUUGAGAGUGAAGUCAAGCCGUUAGUUACAGCACCUGCUGUGGCUGUGGCAACUGCUGUGGGAGAGACAUGUUUUGUUGCAGCUGCGGCAGAUGAAGAUGUCCAGUUUCACUGUUACAGAUACACCAUGGCAUUUCUCCUCUCUGCACUCCUCCCAGUGUUAAUUUCUCUUGAGGUUGUGUUUCCACAGCAGUGACCUGACUGUCUCCAGGUGCUGUGGUCAUCUGCAAGGGAUUCCCACAUUGUGGGGGUGAUCUUGCCAGCCUUCAUAUGGUCUGCCGACAGGCCUGGUGUCUGAAGGCAGCUCCCUAUAGAGCACAUCCUUUGGGAUCCUACCAUUUUCCACCACCAAGCCAGCAUAGAAGGUGCUGAGACAGGAGCAUGAACAUGCUGGGAAUGUGGACUUGGGAGAGCACAUCCUUGUUUGAGACUGUGUCCUGCCAUGGGACACCCAAAAUUCUUCCUGAUGCAGCACAUGUGGAAAGCAUUGAGACGUCGCUCCUGGCAAGUGCACCACAUGCAGGUGCAGUUUUUGAAGACUGUGAGGAGCGAGACUGGAUCACCAGUAACCAUAAGGAGCAGUGGGGAAGUGGUGCAGGAAGAUGCUCAGGCAGCUUAAUGUGAGGAGCACGCAGGGUGCCUAUUGGGAGAGACAGCUGGAGUCCUGAGGCCAGCUGGUGUAGCACUGUGCAAAAUCCAAGAUGUGGAACAAAUAUUGUGUGGCACCUGUAAGAGUGCCGGUUCUGCUGAUCCAAGCAGUCGUGUGGACAUAGAAGGUGAUCUCACAGGUUCUUAUCCAUGUCUAGGUUGACGCGUUCGUAUUUCCAUGUAUAGCUGGCUGCAUGGGCGUUGUAGGGCAAGUACCGCCGAAGGAUCUCCCACAUGGAUUCC